rnacentral:rRNA from 1 species
GGAGGGUGCAAGCAUUAAUCGGAAUUAUUGGGCGUAAAGGGCGCGUAGGCGGAUUGGUAAGUCAGAUGUGAAAUUCCGAAGCUCAACUUCGGAGCUGCAUUUGAAACUACCUAUCUAGAGGAUUGUCGGAGAAAACGGAAUUCCACGUGUAGCGGUGAAAUGCGUAGAUAUGUGGAAGAACACCUGUGGCGAAAGCGGUUUUCUAGUUUAUUCCUGACGCUAAGGCGCGAGAGCUAGGGGAGCAAACAGGAUUAGAUACCCUGGUAGUCCUAGCCGUAAACGAUGUAUACUUGGUGUAGAUGGGCUCAACCCUAUCUGUGCCGGAGCUAACGUGUUAAGUAUACCGCCUGGGGAGUACGCUCGCAAGGGUG